rnacentral:rRNA from 1 species
UACGUAGGGGGCGAGCGUUGUCCGGAUUUAUUGGGCGUAAAGAGCUCGUAGGUGGUUCGAUAAGUCAGGUGUAAAAACUCCAGGCUCAACUUGGAGAGGCCACCUGAUACUGUCGUGACUAGAGUCCGGUAGAGGAGCACGGAAUUCCUGGUGUAGCGGUGAAAUGCGCAGAUAUCAGGAGGAACACCAGCGGCGAAGGCGGUGCUCUGGGCCGGAACUGACGCUGAGGAGCGAAAGCGUGGGGAGCGAACAGG